rnacentral:rRNA from 1 species
UACUGGGCGUAAAGCGUGCGCAGGCGGUUUGUUAAGACCGAUGUGAAAUCCCCGGGCUCAACCUGGGAACUGCAUUGGUGACUGGCAAGCUAGAGUAUGGCAGAGGGGGGUAGAAUUCCACGUGUAGCAGUGAAAUGCGUAGAGAUGUGGAGGAAUACCGAUGGCGAAGGCAGCCCCCUGGGCCAAUAUUCGGCCAUAGU